AAUUUUUGACAAUGGGGGAAACCCUGAUCCAGCCAUCCCGCGUGUAUGAUGAAGGCCUNUGGGUUNUNAAGUACUUUGGGCAGAGNCGAAAAGGUACCUCCUAAUACGAGGUACUGCUGACGGUAUCUGCAGAAUAAGCACCGGCUAACUACGUGCCAGCAGCCGCGGUAAUACGUAGGGUGCAAGCGUUAAUCGGAAUUACGGGGCGUAAAGCGUGUGUAGGCGGUUCGGAAAGAAGGAUGUGAAAUCCCAGAGCGCAACCUUGGAACUGCAUUUUUAACUGCCGAGCUAGAGUAUGUCAGAGGGGGGUAGAAUUCCACGUGUAGCAGUGAAAUGCGUAGAUAUGUAGAGGGAUACCGAUGGCGAAGGCAGCCCCCUGGGAUAAUACUGACGCUCAUACACGAAAGCGUGGGGAGCAAACA
rnacentral:rRNA from 1 species